AUGAACGCUGGCGGCGUGCCUAAUACCUGCAAGUCGAGCGAACAGACGAGGAGCUUGCUCCUCUGACGUUAGCGGCGGACGGGUGAGUAACACGUGGAUAACCUACCUAUAAGACUGGGAUAACUUCGGGAAACCGGAGCUAAUACCGGAUAAUAUAUUGAACCGCACGGUUCAAUAGUGAAAGACGGUUUUGCUGUCACUUAUAGAUGGAUCCGCGCCGCAUUAGCUAGUUGGUAAGGUAACGGCUUACCAAGGCAACGAUGCGUAGCCGACCUGAGAGGGUGAUCGGCCACACUGGAACUGAGACACGGUCCAGACUCCUACGGGAGGCAGCAGUAGGGAAUCUUCCGCAAUGGGCGAAAGCCUGACGGAGCAACGCCGCGUGAGUGAUGAAGGUCUUCGGAUCGUAAAACUCUGUUAUUAGGGAAGAACAAAUGUGUAAGUAACUAUGCACGUCUUGACGGUACCUAAUCAGAAAGCCACGGCUAACUACGUG
rnacentral:rRNA from 1 species